UAUGACAUUUUAUACACUUUUGUAACUUGCAUUUCCAUGUAGGAUGUGAAUUUCUUAAACAAUUUAAACACAAAUUUAAUCUUUUGGCAGCCGAGAUUCUGUCAUUUAUAUUUAAUUUUAAAAAUGCAUCGCAUUUAUAUAUCGGAUGAUCAUUUUGACAAAAGUCACAUUUGACACUAGACUGACGUUUAAUAGAAGCAAAACUUCGAGAAUUUACAUUGGGAACCUUUGCUUUAUUAUUUGUAUAACCAGAAGAUAUUUGAAGCUUCUCUAACAUUUGACAUUUUUCCUUUAAAAAUAUAUUUAAAUCUGUCAUACUGGGUAAGUCAUUUUUAUGUUUGAAACAUUCCCAUUCCCUUCUAGUGGUAGCAUCAAAUUUAGAACACAUUAUAAAUAUUAUUAUGCUAUCCCAACUUUGUGUGUCUAAGCCUAAACUAUUUAAUGACCGUAAAUGUUUAGUAACAUUAUCAAAUAAAUCUCUUAGUUCAAGAUGAGACUCGUUAUUAAUACCAGGAUGAUCAAAAAUUGCCUUCAAGUGGUUGUGAAUAAUAAGUUUUUUAUUCUCAUAACGCUCUGUUAACAUUUGCCAAGCUAUUUUAUAGUUUAUUGACGAAACCUCUAUAGAUUUUAUUAUUUGUUGAGGACCCGCUUCAAGAGAAGAUCGCAAAUAAUAAAAUCUCUGAAUAUCUGUUAAAGAAGCAUUAUUGUGAACCAAUGCUAGAAAACAAUCUUUAUAUUCGAGCCACGAGUCAUAGUGCCCUUUAAAAGUACAUAAAGAAGUAGGUGGUAACUUAAAUAAUACCUGAAAACUAUUAUUAUUAACCUCUUUAUUUGAAUGACUAUGAACUGAUACAAUAUCUGCAUUAUAUUCUAUUUUAAAAUUAUCGCAAAAUGUUUGCAUAUCACUAACAAGUUCAAAAUACGAAGCCUCAAAA
rnacentral:lncRNA from 1 species